CCUGUGUUGAGCAGUGUAAUCUCAGAGACCGUUAGCAUUAGCAUUAACAUGUGUCCCUGACAGGACACUGGGACAAGACAGAUCUGCACUGACACAGACGAGUCAGACCUGUAAAGGUGCGGGAGCUUCUGUCGGCCCUGAGCAGCAUCUGCUGACAUCCUGAAGAGGAACCUCCACCAAGACGAUACACGUCUGUGACCUGAGAGGCAAAACCCUGAGGACAAGAGAUGAAAGCUAAUUACGCGGCGUGGCGAGGAGCCGGGGCGGCGCGCGCGAUGCAGGAAACCGGGAGCCGAGGUGGUUAAUUGGGUGUGAUCUCUGGUGUAGGCAGAGGUGCGUCUGGCCGCCCACACCGCUGGCACUCCUGCCCAUGCAGCACCCACAGCACCGACCCAUUAGUGGCGUGGCAGUCUACCCACAUCUCCACCACCUUCAUUAGUCAUUCAGCUCCUUAUUUUUGUUUGGUUUCCCCUCUGGCUCCUAAUUAAUGCUUAAUCGAAACUGCUGA